rnacentral:rRNA from 1 species
UACAGAGGUCUCAAGCGUUGUUCGGAUUCACUGGGCGUAAAGGGUGCGUAGGUGGUGAGGUAAGUCGGAUGUGAAAUCUCCGAGCUCAACUCGGAAACUGCAUUGGAAACUACCUUGCUCGAGGGUUGGAGGGGGGACUGGAAUACUUGGUGUAGCAGUGAAAUGCGUAGAUAUCAAGUGGAACACCAGUGGCGAAGGCGAGUCCCUGGACAACUCCUGACACUGAUGCACGAAAGCUAGGGGAGCAAACAGG